GUCCUGAUACUGUGCUGGUGGGUCCUGUCAUUGUGCUGGUGGGUCCUGAUACGGUGCUGGUGAUUUUGGAUAAGAAGUUGGUCAUAUUUGAAACAAAUGUUACAAAAUCAAUAAAAUUGGGCAGAUAAUUGUUGUCAAUAGGAUCUAUGACUCAUAUUUUAGCUCUUGUGCAUCCAUUUGGCUGUUUAAUAUGUGUUUUGAAAUGAU
rnacentral:lncRNA from 1 species